UACGUAGGAUGCUAGCGUUGUCCGGAUUUACUGGGCGUAAAGCGCGCGCAGGCGGCACACCAAGUACGCAGUGAAAUCUCCCUGCUCAACGGGGGAGGGUGCUGAGUAAACUGGUGAGCUAGAGGACGGUAGAGGGGGGGUGGAAUUGCUGGUGUAGCGGUGAAAUGCGUAGAGAUCAGCAGGAACACCCGUGGCGAAGGCGGCCCCCCUGGGCCGAACCUGACGCUGAGGCGCGAAGGCUAGGGGGAGCGAACAGG
rnacentral:rRNA from 1 species